UGGGGAAUAUUGGACAAUGGGCGAAAGCCUGAUCCAGCCAUGCCGCGUGUGUGAAGAAGGUCUUCGGAUUGUAAAGCACUUUAAGAUGGGAGGAAGGGCAGUAAGCGAAUACCUUGCUGUUUUGACGUUACUGACAGAAUAAGCACCGGCUAACUCUGUGCCAGCAGCCACGGUAAUACAGAGGGUGCAAGCGUUAAUCGGAAUUACUGGGCGUAAAGCGCGCGUAGGUGGUUCGUUAAGUUGAAUGUGAAAGCCCCGUGCUCAACCUUGGAUCUGCAUCCAAAUCUGGCGAGCUUGCAUAGGGCAGAGUGUGGUUGAAUUUCCUGUGUAGCGUUGAAAUGCGUAGAUAUAGGAAGGAACACCAGUGGCGAAGGCAACCACCUGGGCUCAUACUGACACUGAGGUGCGAAAGCGUGGGGAGCAAACAGG
rnacentral:rRNA from 1 species